ensembl:misc_RNA
CUGGAAGUGCCACAGACUGACAUCCUCUGUCUAACCACAGGCCAAGUACAGUACAGAUAGUGCCAAUGCAAGCUUCCCCAAAACGGCCCUUCCAAUGUGCCUCAACUCUUAUCCAAUAGGACCACCUCUAGGGAUGAGAGAAGAAUUCAGUCUUCAUGCCCCAGUCAGUUUUUGGUCUCA